GUUGUAUCAUUGAUGUUUGAUUAAAGGGGUUUGUAAUUAAGGGUUUUUGACUUUGCUGCUGGAGAUUUGAAUUGGGGUUUUAGUAAAUUAGGAUUUGAAUUUGUUUGUAAUUUGUUUGUAAUUAGCCAACUAUGCCUCUAAUUUUAGCUGGAAUUAUGGGUUUUUCUGGCAAAUUUCGAGGGCGAAAUCGGGGGAGGUGGUUCUGAGCUAGGGGGAUAGUUAUUGUAGGGAGCCGAGGGAAGGGGAAGAAUGGGAAGCUACCCGGUUAUUGAAUUUUCGGCUUGAGGAUGAAUCUCACCAGAAGAUUAGGAAAAGGGUACUUCAAAAGUUGAACACAUUGUUUGGAGGUUCUGAUGAUGAUAACUUGGCUUGUAGGUUGGGUAGGGUUACUGAUAUGGAGAUGUUCUUUUUGGUGUCCAUGUACUUUUCGUUUCCUCGAGGUGAAGGAGGACCGGGGAGUUGUGUGGGAGUUGGAUUUGUUGAGGGCAAAAUCUGAUUAUUCUGUUUUACUUUUUUCUUAAGAAUCUAGAAGUAGAUUUUUUGUUGAUAAUGGGUUAUUAGAUGUUGGGCGUACCUUGCUGAUUACAACGUUCAGAAGGAGUCCGCCCCUUCACCUUGUCCUCCGUCGCCGUGGUGGUUUCUAAGCUCUUGGUAUCGUUCUCUAGUUGUCGGCGUUAAGUUUGUGGCAUCGAAUUGGUUUCUAUUUUAUGAUUUGUGAAUGCAUUGAAGUACUUGUUGGAACAAUUUCUAUUUUAGUUGUUAUGAAUCAUCAAGUUCUCUCAUAUUAUGUUUCUGGUUAGUGCUAUGAACUCAAUGAAGUUCUUAUUGAGUUAUGAAUAAACUAUUUUCUGUUUGUGUCUACAUUCUCUUGUUCCUAUUUUUAAUUGUUAUGCUCUGGUUUCUUCUGACAUCCCUUGAAACGUGUUUACAGUUCUUGUGAUUGAUGUGGCCAUGAUUUCUAACGAUUCUAUUGCUCAAAUAUAUAUUAUAUUAAUGGACCCUAACAAUGUGCUCUGAGGUUAUGCUCGCAGUUCCUAUUCUUUAUGACAUUAUGUCUUGAGUUUAGAUUAGAUUUGGUCUUUGGACAUGGAAAUUGAUAUUUUGAUAAGCAAUUUUAUUAGCGUAGUUUCUCAUACAAAUCUGGCGAGUUGUGAUUCUUCUUGGUUUUUGCAGUUUUAAUGAUAAUAUGCUAGUGAUGUUCUGAAGUUGAAUUGAAUUGUUGCCUGCUGUGUGUGGUACUGCCAGAUGAAUAUUUACAUCAUCACCCAGUAAAAUGUGUUUUGACUGAUGAGUUAGUUUAGGCUUUUGCAAAAUUGUCUGGACUUGGAACACCCUGAAAUUUUCAAUUCUGAAUCAAUAAAUUAAAGAUAACAUUGCGCAGUUUCUGUUGUUUUGUUCUUAUGCAAUUUGGCAUAUACACUGCUAAUGGUUGCUGGGUUAUGAAAUUUAAUUAAACUGGAAAGGGAUUAAAUCUGUGCCCUAGUGUCACUGGUCCUUAGUUCAAUACUUUAGCUCAUCUUUUAUCUGCAAAGGUUGCUUGCAUGAACCCUCUUGAGUUUUUUGCAUUUUAGUAUGGGAUAUCCUGCGGGCUUGUUUGACUGUUGCUAGAAAUUAGAAUGUUUCGGGAUGUGUGUGAUUUUUCUGAGUGUUAUUACUUGUGAAUGUGGUAUUGCUGAAAUUGUGUAGUUAGUUAUUACCUGCCUUUGGGGAUCUUAUCAAUGGGCAACUAUUCACAUGGUAGGUGUGUUUUGGGCUUAUUUUUAGUUGGAUUAUCAAUUUCUGGAUGAAUUGAUUUUUUGAACUUCAUUAAGUUAUAUCAAUGUGAUAUUGUGAUGUGAUUAGUUUUAGAGUAGGGAAUAAAAAAAUCUUUCAUUCGACAUCUAUAGUUGAUUUCUUUGUUUAUGAUUUUUAUACUAUAUCUUGUUAGCUGUGUGUGUGUCAUUGCAAAAUGCUAGUUCUCCAUGCAGCGAAGAUGAGUUUUUCUAGUUUUACUGAUGCUAGUAGGCUGUGUUGGUGUGAGCAUGACUGUCGAUUUUGCAAGUAUGUCAAUGACUUACCUGAGAUUUUAAUUUUAUUAUUUUGUGGGCUUGCUUGGUAAAAUAAAGGGUGAACUCUUGGCAGGGACUGUGGUUUAAUCUUCAUUGGCAAUGUUGUUGAAAUUGAGAUGAUAUUAUCUUGCAUUACCAGACUUAAGAAGCAUUGGCUCCUAAACUUUUGGCAGGGACUGGUUCAUUUUUUUUCUCUCAUAUGCUAGAUUUGAAUUUGAACGGGUUAUUAAAUGUUUUGAGGUUGGGCUCCUCAAUGCUAGAUAAGAAUUCUGUUUCACUUUUUUCUUAAGAAUAUAGGGACAGGCGCGCUGACUUGACCAUCUUCCUGAUGGUCAUGUCAGCCAUCCAGAUGUACGCGUCGUACCUUCUCAACUUGCGCAUGCAGAAUGCUGUGUGAGCGAGAGUUGCGUACACACUCUUGGCCGUCCUUGGCAUUCCAGGGCUCGUGGUGGUCGCGCUUUUCGUCUCGUAUUUGCUUCAGCUCAUGGGCUUCAUGAGACUUUUUCUUCCGAGAGGCAGAGGAGCUUGACUCUGUGGUUUUUAGGAUUCUAGGAGUUUUGAGAUGUUGAUAGUUGCAUAUUUGUCCAUAUUUUUACUCCCUUCUUCUAUAGUCGUCUUUUAUUCAUUAUAUGGAGUUAUUAUUACUAUUGGAGCUUAAUUACUAUGUUUUGAUCAUGUCAGCUAGCUAUUCAGAUGUACACAACACAUCAUACCUUGCUAUUCAGAUGUACACAACAUAUCAUACCUUUUCAACUUGCACUGUAAGAGCGAGGUGGAUCGCACUCCAACCAGACCUUUGCAUAUCCGAAACAUCUCACAAUCUCCACACCAAAACACGCUAUUACGGCUUCAGCAAUACCCGGAUCCCAACCACCAGCAAUCGACGAGCAGCAUUGACUAACAGCUCACCAUUAGAGUCACGAACAGCAGCUCCCAACCUCACCAUAGGUCCAUUCAUAAUUGCAUCAUCGACGUUGGUUUUUAUAACCCCAUCAGGAGGACAAUGUCAUGAGGUUGCAGACCUUGUAUCCCUGUAUACUACUCUACCAAACACUCUGCUUGCAUUUAGAUUGUGGUCAUCCACGUACCUUAUAAAGCCCGUAGCUAAGCUUAUAGGAUCGUAUGUAGUCUCAUGUAUAGCUUUGUUCCUGAUCGUCCAUGAAGCCCACAAUAAUGUUG